UGGGGAAUAUUGGACAAUGGGCGAAAGCCUGAUCCAGCAAUGCCGCGUGGGUGAAGAAGGCCUGCGGGUUGUAAAGCCCUUUCGUCUGGGAAGAAAAGCUUGGCGCUAAUACCGCUGAGUCUUGACGUUACCAGAAAAAGAAGCACCGGCUAACUCCGUGCCAGCAGCCGCGGUAAUACGGGGGGUGCAAGCGUUAAUCGGAAUUACUGGGCGUAAAGCGCGCGUAGGCGGUUGUGCGAGUCGGAUGUGAAAGCCCCGGGCUCAACCUGGGAAUUGCAUUCGAAACUGUACGGCUAGAGUCUGGGAGAGGGAAGUGGAAUUCCGGGUGUAGCGGUGAAAUGCGUAGAUAUCCGGAGGAACACCAGUGGCGAAGGCGACUUCCUGGCCUAAGACUGACGCUGAGGUGCGAAAGCGUGGGGAGCAAACAGG
rnacentral:rRNA from 1 species